AUUUAUAUAGUAUAAAUAAUUACAUUUAACUUCCAAUUAAAAAAUUUAAAAUAUUUUAAUAUAAAUA
rnacentral:tRNA from 1 species